UCGAUUUCCUCUAAGCUACAGCUAAGCGAAAUCCAGGAGUUUAAAUUCUAAUGUAGUUAUCUUUUGUUUUGGAGAUGGUUUUCAGCAGCUUAUGAAAACACCUUGAGUCUGGGUCAGAUCCGGUGCAUCGGCUUGGAGUUUACACCCUCAGCUGGGAGGGGAAAAAGAUACGCCAGCAGCUGAGAAAGAAAAACUUGUUUGAAUAAAUACCAUAUGUUUUAUGUUUCGGAAUGAAUCUGGAUAUACAUCAAAUAACUUUUUUUAUCGGAAAGGAGCAUCCCAAAGAAUGAAGCAUGGCAGCUUAUCGUUUAUUCUAACAAACAUUUGUGGAUGCAUCUAUUAUGGCCAGACAUGUACUACAAAAUGAUCAAAUCACAGCCCUUAUGGAUCGCCAGAACUCCUCAGUCUAGCAUCCUUUGAUGAUCAAGACCUCUUUAAUCAUACUUUUAUACGCCAUGUCUCUUGUUCAUAGUGGGUCUUGCUCUGUUGCUCAGGCUGAGAUCACAGCUCACUGCAGCCUCGACCCUCUGGGCUCAAGCAAUCCUCUCACCUUGGCCUCCCAAAGUGCGUGUGCCACCCUGCCCGGCCUUUUGUGGGCUUUUUGUGUAGCUCUAGGCACUGUGCCUAUUGUACCUAACGGAAGCUAAUGAAGAAGUCAGGACUGCUUUGAAGGGCUUGGUAAAUGUAGUCUGAUGGAUGACUUCAACUUCCAGCUUUAUAGCCUGAGGAAAAUGGGCUUUGCAGACCGUUCUGCCGAAUGGCACUUCGUGUUCAGUGAUCUACGUAUGUGGCCUGCACAUGGCCUUUCACCGUGCGUCACAUGCAUUUGACAGGCAGGCAGGCCACGGGGCAGAUCUUGUUAAAUUCUACGUUCUAGCAAUGGCAUCAGAUGGUCAGUCUGAAGAUACCUUAGGCAUGAUCCAGUUCAGCUUCCUUAUUUACAGAUAAGAUAAAGAUCUUUACAGGAAACUGAGGUUCAAGGAGGUUAACAGACUUGAUCAGGGUCAUAGAUCCUGUGAGUAAGAAGUGGAAACUUGGUUCCUUAACUCCCAAAACUUUAUGCUCUUUCCUCACUAGCAUGCUCUAUGAAUUUGAUAAAGAACUGUAGUUUAUAUUGCUGUACCAUUAGAAUGUACACUUCUAUUACAGAAUUAUAUGUAUAUAUUCUUUGUAU